AACGAACUCCUGGUAUUGAUUGGUGCUUGCAUUCAUGAUUUACAUUUGAGUGAGUGGCGAACUGGUGAGUAACACGUGGGAAACCUGCCCAGAAGCGGGGGAUAACACCUGGAAACAGAUGCUAAUACCGCAUAACAACUUGGACCGCAUGGUCCGAGCUUGAAAGAUGGCUUCGGCUAUCACUUUUGGAUGGUCCCGCGGCGUAUUAGCUAGAUGGUGGGGUAACGGCUCACCAUGGCAAUGAUACGUAGCCGACCUGAGAGGGUAAUCGGCCACAUUGGGACUGAGACACGGCCCAAACUCCUACGGGAGGCAGCAGUAGGGAAUCUUCCACAAUGGACGAAAGUCUGAUGGAGCAACGCCGCGUGAGUGAAGAAGGGUUUCGGCUCGUAAAACUCUGUUGUUAAAGAAGAACAUAUCUGAGAGUAACUGUUCAGGUAUUGACGGUAUUUAACCAGAAAGCCACGGCUAACUACGUGCCAGCAGCCGCGGUAAUACGUAGGUGGCAAGCGUUGUCCGGAUUUAUUGGGCGUAAAGCGAGCGCAGGCGGUUUUUUAAGUCUGAUGUGAAAGCCUUCGGCUCAACCGAAGAAGUGCAUCGGAAACUGGGAAACUUGAGUGCAGAAGAGGACAGUGGAACUCCAUGUGUAGCGGUGAAAUGCGUAGAUAUAUGGAAGAACACCAGUGGCGAAGGCGGCUGUCUGGUCUGUAACUGACGCUGAGGCUCGAAAGUAUGGGUAGCAAACAGGAUUAGAUACCCUGGUAGUCCAUACCGUAAACGAUGAAUGCUAAGUGUUGGAGGGUUUCCGCCCUUCAGUGCUGCAGCUAACGCAUUAAGCAUUCCGCCUGGGGAGUACGGCCGCAAGGCUGAAACUCAAAGGAAUUGACGGGGGCCCGCACAAGCGGUGGAGCAUGUGGUUUAAUUCGAAGCUACGCGAAGAACCUUACCAGGUCUUGACAUACUAUGCAAAUCUAAGAGAUUAGACGUUCCCUUCGGGGACAUGGAUACAGGUGGUGCAUGGUUGUCGUCAGCUCGUGUCGUGAGAUGUUGGGUUAAGUCCCGCAACGAGCGCAACCCUUAUUAUCAGUUGCCAGCAUUAAGUUGGGCACUCUGGUGAGACUGCCGGUGACAAACCGGAGGAAGGUGGGGAUGACGUCAAAUCAUCAUGCCCCUUAUGACCUGGGCUACACACGUGCUACAAUGGAUGGUACAACGAGUUGCGAACUCGCGAGAGUAAGCUAAUCUCUUAAAGCCAUUCUCAGUUCGGAUUGUAGGCUGCAACUCGCCUACAUGAAGUCGGAAUCGCUAGUAAUCGCGGAUCAGCAUGCCGCGGUGAAUACGUUCCCGGGCCUUGUACACACCGCCCGUCACACCAUGAGAGUUUGUAACACCCAAAGUCGGUGGGGUAACCUUUUAGGAAC
rnacentral:rRNA from 2 species